AGCGGGGUGGAAGUCUUUGUUUUAGCGAACUAGAUUGCUCACUGGGCUCAUAACCCAGGGGUCGCACGUUCAAAUCGUGCCCCCGCUACCA
rnacentral:tRNA from 1 species